UUUUUUUUUCACAAAGAUUAUGUUCAUGCUAAUUCAUUGAAUUGAACUUCCGAAAUUAAUUGCACAAUGACAUAAAAAAAUUAUUGGAAUAAAGGGAGAGGAAGAGAAGGGGUUGUAAUUGGAAUAAAAAAAUAAAAGCUUUAAAAAGAAGGUUAAGUGUUGUUUUUAAAUAUGAAGCAUUUUGACUACUAGUAUGUUAUAUUAAAAACUCUUUUCCAUUGUCAUUUUUUUAUCAAUGAUCUUUUAAUCUGUGGAUUAAAUCACGUGUAUAUGUCUGACAUGUUUAAAUUAUACUGAUGUUAUAUUUAUUGUAAUUCAUAAUUAAGACCUUGUUGUAUGGUAAAAUAUGCUAUUUGUAACAUAUGGCCGGCUUUUAAUCAUGGACAUCUUUGCGUGGAGGGAAAUCCCCGCACUGUAUCUGACGGACUUCAGUGACUUGUAUGAGUAUCUUCAGAUAUAAUUAUGAUCGUUGAGCUUUCAGUUAUUGCGAUAUGUACUUCUAAUUGUAAUAAUGUACCAAAAAGUAUACGAAUAAACAUAUUAU
rnacentral:sRNA from 1 species